AGCAGCCGCGGUAAUUCCAGCUCCAAUAGCGUAUAUUAAAGUUGCUGCAGUUAAAAAGCUCGUAGUUGAAUUUCGGGAUCAAUAUGUUGGUCGUGCCUCGGUACGUACUAGCUUAUUGGUUUCUCCCUUCUGACGAACCAUGAUGUCAUUUAUUUGGUGUUAUGGGAAAUCAGGACUGUUACUUUGAAAAAUUAGAGUGUUUAAAGCAGGCUCACGCUUGAAUACAUUAGCAUGGAAUAAUGAAAUAGGACGUUUGAUUCUAUUUUGUUGGUUUCUAGGAUCGACGUAAUGAUUAAUAGGGAUAGUUGGGGGCAUUAGUAUUCAAUUGUCAGAGGUGAAAUUCUUGGAUUUAUUGAAGACUAACUACUGCGAAAGCAUUUGCCAAGGAUGUUUUCAUUAAUCAAGAACGAAAGUUAGGGGAUCGAAGACGAUCAGAUACCGUCGUAGUCUUAACCAUAAACUAUGCCGACUAGGGAUCGGAUGAUGUUAAUUUUUUAAUGUACUCAUUCGGCGCCUUAAC
rnacentral:misc_RNA from 1 species